CGAAAGCCUGACGGAGCAAUACCGCGUGAGGGAGGAAGGCUCUUGGGUUGUAAACCUCUUUUCUCUGGGAAUAAAAAAGAAGGUACCAGAGGAAUAAGCAUCGGCUAACUCCGUGCCAGCAGCCGCGGUAAUACGGAGGAUGCAAGCGUUAUCCGGAAUGAUUGGGCGUAAAGCGUCCGCAGGUGGCAUUGAAAGUCUGCUGUCAAAGAGUCUGGCUCAACCAGAUAAAGGCAGUGGAAACUAGAAAGCUAGAGUGCGUUCGGGGUAGAGGGAAUUCCUGGUGUAGCGGUGAAAUGCGUAGAGAUCAGGAAGAACACCGGUGGCGAAGGCGCUCUACUAGGCCGCAACUGACACUGAGGGACGAAAGCUAGGGGAGCGAAUGGGAUUAGAUACCCCAGCAGUCCUAGCUGUAAACGAUGGAUACUAGGCGUUGCUUGUAUCGACCCGAGCAGUGCCGUAGCUAACGCGUUAAGUAUCCCGCCUGGGGAGUACGCACGCAAGUGUGAAACUCAAAGGAAUUGACGGGGGCCCGCACAAGCGGUGGAGUAUGUGGUUUAAUUCGAUGCAACGCGAAGAACCUUACCAAGGCUUGACAUGUCGCGAAUCAGGGGGAAACUUCUGAGUGCCUUCGGGAGCGCGAACACAGGUGGUGCAUGGCUGUCGUCAGCUCGUGUCGUGAGAUGUUGGGUUAAGUCCCGCAACGAGCGCAACCCUCGUUUUUAGUUGCCAGCAUUAAGUUGGGCACUCUAAAGAGACUGCCGGUGACAAACCGGAGGAAGGUGGGGAUGACGUCAGGUCAGCAUGCCCCUUACGUCCUGGGCUACACACGUACUACAAUGCGACGGACAGAGGGCAGCAAGCUAGUGAUAGCAAGCAAAUCCCGUAAACCGGCGCUCAGUUCAGAUCGAAGGCUGCAACUCGCCUUCGUGAAGGUGGAAUCGCUAGUAAUUGCAGGUCAGCAUACUGCAGUGAAUUCGUUCCCGGGCCUUGUAUACACCGCCCGUCACACCAUGGAAGCUGGUAGUGCCCGAAGUCAUUACCCCAACCUUUCGAGGAGGGGGAUGCCUAAGGCAGGACUGGUGACUGGGGUGAA
rnacentral:rRNA from 1 species